GGCUACAACCCUUUAAAGAAAUAAAAAUUUUUGAAAAAUAUCUAUGUGAACUCAUCAAGCAACAAGCUUUUAAAUAUUACUUACUUUAAAUGUGGUAAAAAAGGACACAAAUCUUAUACAUGUUUCUCUAGCAAAUCUGAAAAUUUUAAUGUGAAGAAAAUAUGGGUUCCAAAAGAAAUCAUUGUGACUAACCAAAAAGGACCCAAG
rnacentral:lncRNA from 1 species